rnacentral:rRNA from 1 species
AUGAAGUUAGGUUAGGGAACCCGCCGAAUUUAAGCAUAUAAAUAAGCGGAGGAUUUGAAACUAAAAAGGAAUCCCUCAGUAAUGGCGAAUGACCAGGGAUAUGCUCGGGCUGGGAAUUGGGGCGUCGUGCCUCGAAUUGUAGUCUGGGGGUGCUUUGCCAACGGAGGCGCAAAUGAAAGUCUUUUGGAAAAUGGAUCACAGUGGGUGAGAAUCCCGUCUGUCAUUUGCAGCCCUCUGUGUAUGGCAUGGCAUCGUAGAGUCACGCUCCUCGGGAUUGGAGUGCAAAGUGGGUGGUAGAUGUCAUCUUAGGCUAAUUACAAGUUCGAGACCGAUAGUGGACAAGUACCAUGAGGGAAAGGCGAAAAGGACUUUGAAAAGAGAGUUACAUGUACAUGAAAUUGCUGGAGGGGAAGCGAAUGGAACUGUCAGCCUUGGCGAGAUUGUAGCACACACUUGCAAUCACUCGGCACGUCGGCGUAAGCACCGUGGCGAGCUGUAAGUUCAUGUGUGUUGAGCGUUUCGCCUUGCAUUUCUUGCGUGGCAUAAAUGUGAGGAUCCCGCCGAAAGCAUUGAAAGCCGCCUUCGGGUGGUGUGUGUGUUUUCGAGCACACUCACUGAUGUGCCACUCGAGCGCGAUACAGCUUCCUUCGACCCGUCUUGGAACACGGACCAAGGAGUCUAACACAUGUGCGAGCGUUUGGGCUUACGCCUACUUGCGGAUCGAAAGUGACUGCUGGGACCGCUUGCACCAGCAACCGACCAACUAAUUGUAGGAGGUUUGAGUAUGAGCACAAUUGUUAGGACCCGAAAGAUGGUGAACUAUGCCUGUGAAGAGCAAAAUCAGGGGAAACUCUGAUGAAGGCUUGUAGCGAUACUGACGUGCAAAUCGUUCGUCAAAC